rnacentral:rRNA from 1 species
CAAUAGCGUAUAUUAAAGUUGUUGCGGUUAAAAAGCUCGUAGUUGGAUUUCUGUUGGGAACGACCGGUCCGCCCAUUGGGUGUGUAUCUGGCUUGUUCUCGGCAUCUUCUUGGUGAACGUUGCUGCACUUGACUGUGUGGAGCGCUACCCAGGACUUUUACUUUGAGGAAAUUAGAGUGUUUCAAGCAGGCAUAUGCCUUGAAUACAUUAGCAUGGAAUAAUAAGAUAGGACCUCGGUUCUAUUUUGUUGGUUUCUAGAGCUGAGGUAAUGAUUAAUAGGGAUAGUUGGGGGCAUUCGUAUUUAACUGUCAGAGGUGGGAUUCUUGGAUUUGUUAAAGACGGACUACUGCGAAAGCAUUUGCCAAGGAUGUUUUCAUUGA